UACGUAGGGGGCAAGCGUUGUCCGGAUUUAUUGGGCGUAAAGAGCGUGUAGGCGGUUUGGUAGGUCCGCUGUGAAAACUCGAGGCUCAACCUCGAGACGCCGGUGGAAACCAUCUAGCUAGAGUCCGGAAGAGGAGAGUGGAAUUCCUGGUGUAGCGGUGAAAUGCGCAGAUAUCAGGAAGAACACCCGUGGCGAAGGCGGCUCUCUGGGACGUGACUGACGCUGAGACGCGAAAGCGUGGGGAGCGAACAGG
rnacentral:rRNA from 1 species